rnacentral:rRNA from 1 species
UACGAAGGGGGCUAGCGUUGCUCGGAAUUACUGGGCGUAAAGCGCACGUAGGCGGCUUUCUAAGUCGGGGGUGAAAUCCUGGAGCUCAACUCUAGAACUGCCUUCGAUACUGGAGAGCUCGAGUCCGGGAGAGGUGAGUGGAACUGCGAGUGUAGAGGUGAAAUUCGUAGAUAUUCGCAAGAACACCAGUGGCGAAGGCGGCUCACUGGCCCGGUACUGACGCUGAGGUGCGAAAGCGUGGGGAGCAAACAGG